rnacentral:rRNA from 1 species
GGGUCAGUAGGUUGGUCGUGCCACCGGUACGUACUGGUCUCACUGAUUCCUCCUUCCUGAAGAACCGUAAUGCCAUUAAUUUGGUGUUGCGGGGAAACAGGACUGUUACUUUGAAAAAAUUAGAGUGUUUAAAGCAAGCUAACGCUUGAAUACAUUAGCAUGGAAUAAUGAAAUAGGACGAUCGAUCCUAUUUUGUUGGUUUCUAGGAUUGACGUAAUGAUUAAUAGGGAUCGUGGGG